ensembl:lncRNA SATB1-AS1 SATB1 antisense RNA 1
UUGCCUGGUUCCACAUGCACUUUAACCUGCUUUAUUUAGGCUUUUGAAAGCAACCUAAAUAGCUAACAUUGACUAAAUAAGUGCAGUAUACCUGGUCUGUGUGACAUUUUGCAGGUAUUAAAAAGUGAACAUUCUGAACCCUUUUAGCAAUAUGGCAAAUACUUCUGAUGUGAUGUAUGCAUAUAAAUAUGAUCGAAAGCAAAUAUCCCAAAAGGUUGAUGGCAGUUAUGUCAGGUUAGUAGCACAAUAGUUUCUUUUCUCAUUUUCUCACAUUUUUAGUAAUGUGUGUUGCCUAUAUUAAAAAACAAAUAUUAAAAAGUAGUAGCAUGUAUUAGAUCAGAGCAUGGGCUCAGACUGCCUGUGUCAUCUCUUAUUAGAUGUAUGACCAGGGACAAGUUAUUGACCUUUUGUUUCUAAGUCUCUAAGUUUAUCCUGUAAAAUGAAGAUAAUUGUAGUAACUACCUAAUAACAUGAUUGUAAGGAUUAAAUUAUUUAGAACACUAUUUGUUACUUGGAAAAUAUGCAAUCAUAAGCUAUUUUGUUGUUAUUGUUAUUUUACUACCAAAGCUUAUUGUUUCAGAGCCCCUAGGUGACCAGGCAAAAUGGCAGUUCCUUCCAGCUGGUCCUCAGAUGGGCACAUCUAUUAGCCUCUGCUCUUGUAAGAAGUUAGCUGCAGAACCCACAUGUGAAUCCUUGUAGGACUCUGGAGAAGAUCAAAUGGGAGCUUAGAUGUGGAAGCUCUUUGGAAACCAAGAAACACUCUGAAAAUGAAAAGGGUGGAAGAGUAAACUGUUCCUGUUUCUCCAUCUUGACAGGAAGCAGAAGUUCUCCUUAGCUGAUUUUUCUUCUUGCCUUAUACUGGGUUCUUUAACACCAGAACAAAAAUAAAUAAAUAAAAGAAUCUUCCAGAAAUUCAUGAAGAGACUUCAGGUCAGGAAAGCCUGAACUUUCUCAUCCAACACCCGUUCAAGUCGGAGGAUGCUGAUUAAUUCAUGAUGGAAAGGUAUCAAUUUCACAGCCCAGACCUCUACAUUCUUGAAAUGCUCUUCUCAUGGGAGACAUUAAAUAAGCUUUGAAUUAACUGAAGAACCAAUGAUGUGAUCCCUGGAUACUGGCAAUUGUUGCCCAAGAAAACCUCUCCCCUUGCUGUGGGACUGCUGGGCAC